UCGCGAUACCUAUGCUUACAUACUUAACACUAGGCCAUCGGGACGUUAGCAUAAAAUAAAGUAUCGAGAAUCGAUAAGUAAAUCGUAAUAAAAUACGGAAACUAACGAAAGAGUUUCCGAAAAUUAAUGAGUCUCAGGUCAAUAUUGCAAUGCAGUAAAAAAGCUUCUAUUAUACGAUAGAAUGCAUGAAUUACCGAAACGCGUCGUUCCUAUUUGGAUACAAAUAUGAAACGAGUUUGUUUAAGUUAAAGUGUUUGUGCAUUUUUGUAUGAAUAUUUAACUGAUUUGUAUGAGAGGAAUCGUACCAUUGUAACAAAAUCAUUCGACAUGUUUGAAGAUUCACUAGCCAUCACAUUGAGUUCUCAUUUCUGUAAACUGCAUAAAGUUUGCAUAGCCUGCCUUUAUGCCAGUCCAUUCAUUCUUCAAACUGUUGGUUUGUUUACAACAAAUUGGAUUAUAAACGACACAUGUGACUCUGUUGGUAUAUUCUACUAUUGCUGCGGUGGACCUGAUAACGAUACUUGCAGACCUUCACAAAUAGAGGACGGUAUGCACAAACACCAUUCCAAACGAAGUUCAUCUGCUAAGACUGGACACGACAGGACGAGAUUUACAAAUUUCUUCAUUUGUAAUGAUGCUAAUUGGAUUAUUGAUGUUCUUCGUUGGAAUACCUUGUGCAUGUGGAUUGUUUAAAAUAAGCAAACCAGAAAGAGAUAGAUUGUACGAUAGAACACUGCAUGCCUGUUGCGACAUACUAUUUGGCUGUGUAAUUAUAUUUUUGGGAGCCUUGUUGAUGUUGAUUUCGGGUAUAUUAAAUAUAUGUGGGUGUAUUGUCGUUGCAACACAGUUCUCAAGUGCACAAUUAGGCUACUCCUUCUACCUUUGUGUGAUUGCAGGAUGUAUUUUUAUUCUAAUGAGCAUAAUUUCUUGCUUGGCAUUCUGUUGCGACCGAAAUGGAUACAAAAAUUUAACCGGAAAGACUCCGCAACUAUCGAAAACGACAAAUCAUCAAGAGAUAAUUCAUCAUUUGAGUUAUAACUUCGUCUGUGAUUCAAAAUAUCCAGAAAAAAAUCUCUAAGGAUGAUUAUUUUUAGUGAUAGCGUUGGAAAAGGCAUUGUCAAACAAAUUGCCGAAAGUUGUCUUAUUUUUGUUUGUAUUUGUUUUUGUUUAGUUAUUGUUGUUUUUACCAACAAUUUCCAUUGUUUAUGCAACAAUCUGAACAUAAUUCCGGUGGUGGUGGUUGUGGUAGUUUACCCUUCGGAUCAGGAUAACCUGGAAUUUUCCAGAGCACAGUUGAGCCACCGCAUCAUCCUGGAGCUCUUUGCCAAGCUGUUCACGAGUGGCCGAUUUGUGUCAUUCGUGUUUUCGCCCCGUGACCCCGCCAAGCGAAAAGUCAAGAAUUACCACGUUAAACGGAGCGAAAACACGCUAAUUAGCAAGGGCGCGAACCGAGAUCUAAGAAAUAAAACGGACAUAUUUUGAUCAUCAC